AAUAGAAUGUAUAAAUGAGAAAAAAGAAGGACAAGGGAACUUAAUAGCAAUGUCUGUCUGCAAUGGCAACACUUGCAUCAACGGGAAAAGCUAAAAGCCAGGAAGAUUUGUAAGAUGGAGAGAUUGGUGAAGACAUGGUGAUUCUAAGACAGAUGUGUUAAGCUCUCCUUUGCUUCUGACUGUAAAAUGGAUCGGAAAGGACUUCUCAUACCUUGAAUUGUUUAGAUAUUCAGGAUCUAUAUCCUUGUUUUGCCAUUCAUCACUGUGGAACAGAUAUCUUCUUUGGAGAAGAUGGCCCAGUACUUUCCACUGAGCAGGCAAGUAUAACUGCAGCCGCAUAGGUGAGACUGAGCAUUCCUAUGCGCUCCUACUUGUCUCCGGCUGAACUCACAGGGAGCUGUCUAGAGCCAUGGAAAUGGAUUGACGAAUGCAACAGUCCUUAGGUUCUAGCUGAGCCCUCAAAUUAUGAAGUAAGGACACGAUGCAAACUUCUUAGUCUCUGCAGCAUGUGUACGCCAAGAAAACAAUCAAGACCCAUGGGAAUACCUAAAGGAACUAGAACAGUUUGGCUCAGUUUCAGUAUUGAGUGCAUGAAUGCUUUACCCCAAGAAUAAAAAGUGUAAGACAAUAAAUCUCUAGGGCAGCUGUGACAAUUCUUUGCAAGAACAUGAAGGUCUGAACAUUGUAGUUGCAACCAAAAAGCUUGAAAAAAACAACAAACUAUUAGAUGUCCCCAUUAAUGGAGCAGGAUCUCAUGACAGCUACAGAUCUGUUGUGAUUAAGAUGAAGUAAGGCAGAGUGUUUUUGAUUCACCAGAUGAACCAUUUACCCACAAGCACUAGGAAAAUGUAAUGUCUGAGACAGAAGAGUCCUCCUGCAAAUGCAGGAUGAAGACAUAAGGACUCUCUGCUGUGGCAGAUAUAAAAUCUGUGAGUGCAACCAGUACAUGCAGUCUCUACAAAAGAUAGAGGAUUUACA